UACGAUGCAAAUGUUGUUCCACGCGCUCGUGUACUGUGUACGGAUGUAGCACUCACACUAAUGCAGACGGCGAACGCGUGUUGAGGCGCGGC